GAAUUAUUGAUUGUGAUUUAUUUUGAGAAACAUGGGGGAGGGUGAGGUUUCUUAUAAACUGAAAUUUUUGUGUGGAUUAAUUGAAUGAAAGUGAGCGAUAAUGUUUUAAUAAAAGCAUGUUACUUAUUUACAAUCAUUGAGCGUUAAUCUCGGUGUAAUUCCGAUAGAACAUUUGCGGAAAUUACAACGGUAGCACGGCAUAAAGGUGCCUUCCCAGGUUUAUAUAGCAAAUAUUUGUAUCUGAAUAAACUGGUAUUAAAUAAAUUCAAUAAAUUUAUUGUUUUUACAAUGAAAUGAAAAAAAUUAUAAAGGAUUUUAUGGCGAUUAAAGUAGGUGAGGAGUUAGAAAUGCAAAGUACAAUAGGUGACCCACUAGGAGUGGGUGAGGUGGUGGAUCUCCUAAAGGAACACUACGCCAUUCUUACCGGUGGCAAAUCGAACGAUGGCUGUCCUAUUAUUACCUUUCCUGAUAACAAUAAUUUUCACAUGCUUUCUGAUAUAGACUAUCAACGAUUAAUGUUGUAUUUAACUACGGUGCCUACACUUCAAGAGGCAGAUAUGGGCUUCCAUUUAAUAAUAGACCGACGAAACGAUCGUUGGAGUGCCGUUAAGUUAGUUUUAUUGAAAAUAUCUGAGUUUUUCCCAGGGAUUAUACACGUGGUGUAUGUUAUUCGACCGGCGAGUUUUCUUCAAAAAGCCUUAUCUGAAGUUAGCAAUAUGUUAUCAAAAGACGAAUUUAAAUUCCCUAUGAUUGUAGUAAGCACUAUUGAGGAACUGCACGAAUAUAUAGAUCCGACACAAUUAACAACUGAUUUAGGUGGCUCCUUAAGAUAUAAUAACGAAAUAUGGGUUGAUCAACGGAUCGAAUUAGAACAUUUUUCGUGUAUUACUCAACAAGUUUCUCGCUCCUUAGAUGAUUUUACUAAGGAGGUAAAUGAGGUGGAGCUGCCAGAAAAUGUGGAACUUACUCAAGAGCUUUUUGCUAAACAAACCGAAUCAUAUUCAAAGUUAAAAAUCGAAAUUCUGAAUACUGCGAAGGUAGGAGAAUCCCUUCUUCGUAUUAUUAAAGGAGUUCCUGAUGAAGAGGUUGAUGCUGAUGGCACAUUUAGCCAAAGUCAAGAUAUUGGGAUUGUUUUCACUGUCGAACGCCUUCUUGUGCAACUGGAAGAAACUGAGAAAACUUUUGAUGAAUUUUGGAAAGAUCAUUCGAAUAAACUACGAAACAACUUGGAAUUGAGACGGUUCGAGCAGGACUUCACCGAGUUACAAGGGAACUUUGAGUUGUCACUUAGGACAAUGUCUGAGAUGACCGAACUGGGUGAUACUGCUUCUCGGGUUGAAACACUUAUUAAAGAAAUGAGCGUUUUCGAGAACCUUUGUCAAACGGAUAUUCAACGAGCAGAAGAAGCGGUUUCAUUAGGAGAAUUGUUAAUAAAGAAUUUUAAAACUCCGCAAGUUGAUCAGAUACAAACUAAAUGCCUUGAUUUAAGCCAAAUGAAAGAGUUGCUCAUAAUUAGGUUAAACCAAAGGAAGGAUGCUUUGGUUAAGAGUAGACUGCUUAUGGAAACUAUUGAGAAGGCCAACAAUUGGUGUUCUGCUGGUGUUAGUUUAUUAGCCUCGCAGAGAAUCGAGGAGUGCACUAAUACACCUGAACUGGCUGAGAAGUAUAUAGAUGAAAUAAAAUCGUACCAGAACCAGCAGGAAUUCAGGGAUAUUCUUUUCGAUAAUAUUUCGCUGGAAACAAAAACUAUCACCUCUCAACUUGUACAAAGAAUGGAUGAUAUCAUGCUCAUGUGUAAUAAAAGAAUAUGUAGCCUUAAUAAAAUAGCAUUAAAACAUAAACGACUCAACGUACAAACUCCGAUGGCAGAUUCCAUAGUUCCUAGACAACCCCUAGUUGGUGCACCUCAUCCUAGUAAACCUUUUUUAAAAAAGGCUUUUACUGUGCCGAAAAUGGAUAAAACAAUUGAGACGGAAUUGGAAGUUGGACCCGAAGAAGAAUUAUUUCCCCAUGACAGUGAUGAUAGUGUAAACAGUGCCAAAAUAGGCCAUGUUUUAAGUGAAUUGUUGGAUACAGAGAGGGUUUAUGUAAAUGAGCUUUUGUGUAUAAUUAAGGGUUACAGGGAAGAAGCAGACUUGCCAGAAAACCAAAACUUAAUUUCUCCCAAAGCUGCCGAGAAAUUCGAUGUCAUUUUUGGUAACUUAGAUGAGAUAUACAAGUUUCAUGCAGAAUACUUUUUAAAAGAUUUGGAAAACUGCAUUAGCUCUACGGAUUUGAUUGCAUUGUGUUUUGUGCAGAAGAGAGAAACCUUUCUUAAGCUAUAUAGUUUCUAUUGCCAGAACAUCACUAAGUCAGAACAAGUGCGUGAAAAUUCAAACGAAUUAAGCCCAUUUUUCAUAAAAUGCCAAAGAAAAUUAGGCCAUAAGCUUCCUUUAGCUGCAUACCUCCUAAAGCCAGUUCAACGCAUUACAAAGUACCAAUUGCUAUUAAGCCACCUUCUGAAAUACUCAGAAGGAAAGCUGCAAUGCUGUAAAGAGUUGCAACAAGCACUCGAUUGCAUGCUGCUAGUCCUUAAAUGCGUAAACGAUUCAAUGCAUCAGAUAUCAAUAACAGGAUUUCCCAAAGAAUUGUCACAACAAGGAGAGCUACUACUUCAAGGAUCAUUUUCUGUGUGGGUCGAAAACAAAAAAGGGGAUUUAAGGUUAAGACUGAAACCGCUGAGGAGGCACUUGUUCCUCUAUCAAAAAUCGCUGGUGUUCUGCAAGCCAGUUUCAAAGACUGACAGCAAUAAGGCCAUGUACCAAUUCAAGAAUUAUUUGGAAAUGUCCCAAAUCGGAUUGACCGAAACUGUGAAAGGUGAUAGCAGGAGGUUCGAGGUGUGGCUGCAGGGACGUCAAAAAGUUCAUAUUAUUCAAGCGGCUAACUUGGAACAGAAAAACGCAUGGGUCAAUGAAAUCAAGAAAGUCCUUUAUAGUCAGUUGGAAGAAAUCAAAGGAGAGAAGAUCAAGCAGUAUGCCGCGAUUGCUCAUAAACCGUUAAAACAAACAACAUCUUGGGAAAAGGAGAAAACGCCCGCAGCAACCCAGGGAGGACAAGUUCAUCAAAAAGCGAUGAGUUGUGAUAGUGAACCACCAGGUUACCAUAACGUAGACGAAGGGGUGGAAUGCACAGAGACUGAAAACUGGUCAUCCGAUGCCAGUAAUAGCGAUGAAGAAGACCAGCAUGCAGUGUCGUAGACUGUAGUGUAGACCCGCUCAAGCUUGGUGGUAGUUAAGUAUGCAAAUACUCAUAUAAGAGGGCGAUAUAUAGCUUUAGCAGAUUAUUGCGCCAUCGGUAGCAGUGAGGUCAACAUGAAAGAAGGAGACAUUGUGGAAUUGUUAAAAGUAGGUUGUGCAGGCUGGUGGUUCGUUAAACUGAUCG
rnacentral:misc_RNA from 1 species